UUAAAGUCAUUUCCGAUUUUGACGACAGAAACUUUGAUAGCGAAGAAUAGUUUCGUUUUAUAUUCUUCCAAGUUUUUAAUUCAUCCGCUGCACAAACAAGCUACCCAUAGGCAUAGUCAAUAUGCUAAUAUAUUAAUACCAUAUAAUGGUUAUUUUACACAAUGUUUGAAAAUUACAAAGUUGGGAAAUGAGACACAGUCCCAAACAUUUUGACGAAGGAACAUCUCUAUUUUCGGUUGUCCGUUCGGCAAAACGUCCGUCGGCAAAAUGUCCGUUCGGCAAAAUGUCUUUCGGCAAAGUGUCUUUCGGCAAAGUGUCUUUCGGCAAAGUGUCUUUCGGCAAAGUGUCUUUCGGUACCAUUUGCAUUAUAGACUAAAUUUUGAUCUGGACAAAAAUUUCAUCACAGCUUGAAAGAGCAUCACAAAAUUAGUAACAUUCCAAAGUUUCGUUGCGAAAUGUUGUAAAAUGCGGACAAUAUAGCCUUGCGAAGUUGGCCGUUUUUCAGUCGUUUUGUAUUACGCACGGGAAAUUGACAGCCCAAUCGGGUGUUGGGGCAUCAAUUUCCCGUUUGUAAUACAAAAUGACUGAAAAUUGCA